UGUAGGGAUGGCAGUGUGCUGGGGAGGACCACGUGACAGGGCACAGGCUGGCCCAAGGGCAAGGGAGUGGGUGACCAGCCCCUGGUCCUCCCAUCACUGGCCACUUACAAGACAUCUAGAAAGAAGAGGAGCAAUGUUUUCUAUUUUUGAUGAGGCACUGGUGAAAUGGAGGCUUUUCAAUUAUUAACAUCCAGAAAUAAAUGAUUUAUUCAGGUCAGAUGUAAAAUCACCGUUCAUUUUAGGAAUGUCCGUUCCCCCAUGCACUGUCACCAAUUUGCCGAUCUGCUGGAAGCCAUUUGUCCCCUUUGGGCCUCAGUGCUGCCCUCUGUCAAAUGGGACCAGGGCCCUUGGGACUCCUGCAGAGAGCUUCUUCCAGGAAGCUUUCUCAGCAACCCCGACAUAGGUGUAGCUCUUUUUCCUCCACAUGGCCACCCUUUAGACACUUGUCUCCCCACCAGACCAGGAGCUCUUCCAGUUUAGAACUAAAUUAGAUGAAUUUCUGCAUCUCUAGGUAGGGUCCUAGUAAGCGUUUGUUGAAUGACUGUGUGAGUGAGUGAGUGUAUGAAAGAGGUGGCUCUCUUUAUCCUAUGGGGAGCAGGUUGUUGGUGGCGUAAGGGCAUGACCCCAGGAAACCUCCCAUUUGAGUGGCCCUACAUUCCCCCGUUUUUCUAAGACUGCUCCCCCUUGAGGACACAGCCAGGGAUGGAAGAUUGUGUUGCCAUGGCAAUAGAUUCUUUCUGCCAGAGCUAACGUCUCCACCCAGGCCUCAGGAGGUGCCAGUCCGUGUGGCGGGUACCGUGUCUCCUCCCACACCAGCCGCCCUACUUACAGCGCCCCUGGUGAGCCUGUCGCCUCCUCCACGGCUCUCUUCCCAACCUGCUCCAUCAGCACCAGAAGUCGAGCCAGAGCAGACAGCCACCUGGAGCCUGGGGUCAGAGGUCUCAGGACAAAGCUCAGAGAGGCCGCGGGGCUUUCUCCAGCACACAGCCAGUGAGAGGCAGAGGCGGGAUUUGAGCUCUGGUCUCAGGGACUGGUCUGGCCUCAGCUCCACGGCCCGGAAGCAGACCCACAGUGUGUGCGCAGUAAUCUUUCACACCUGCCAAUUGUGCUGGCCAGUCCAUUGAUCAGGAUGAAUAAGAACCUGGAAGACAUCGAUGGUCCCCACCCCAUCCGAUAACUGGGGCCUCAGAGAACUUUGGCAGCUAAGCCCUGCAGAGGUACAAGAUUCCUCCUGAGGAUGUGACUGUGUUUGACCCUGUGGGAUGGUGGGGCCUGAGCCCCAGCGCUGAGCACCCCUUACCUGGGAACUGGGCGAUGCUGAGCCUGUGGGACUGGGGCGGGGAAGGGCUCACAUACUUCUGGUGUUACUGGAGGAGCGCCCCGCGGGCCUUUUCUCCAGGUGCCUUGGGUCCCAAACAAAGAAUUGGACUAGAUGCACAACCAAGGCAGUGAAACAGUGUACUGAGGGUGAGGAAAGGGCUACACUCUGCGGAGUGAGCAGAGUGGCAAAAGGGCUCACAGCGCCAGGGGCCAAGGGGAAGGAAGUUCUUAGGGUCCAAAGUUCCCAGGUUAUCUCUCUGUCCUGCAGAUAAGGCAGUGGGAAGUCAUUCCCUCAACACUCACUCCUGGUCAGCUCAUGUAUAAUGUCCCGUCAGAAAAUUCACUUGGCUUCCUAUUACAUGUAAAUGAGGGAUCAUAAAUAAUGUCUUUUGAUUGGCUAUGUCCACAUGCAAAUGAAGGAAGGAUUGAAAAGAAUGUCUUGUGAUUGGCCCUAUGAAUAGCACCAGAUUCAAAUAAAGCGUUGAAAAUGGCA
rnacentral:lncRNA from 1 species